rnacentral:misc_RNA from 1 species
UUUAAUACUAAUAAAAUUAAUUAAAGUCGUCUUAUAAUGCCUUGAGUUUAAAUCAGUAAAUAAAAAGCCAAAAGAAAAUGGGGUGCCGAGGACAAGGGUGCACAAAAAUAGUGGGUAGAAAGGGCUAGAAGGAACCCGUGUCAUGCGGGAUGGGAAACACGAACAUGAAAGCCGCGCUUCCACGUGUUCUCCAAACAGCCAAUUAACACUAGCUAAUUUACCUCUCCUCAGUAUUCACCCCACUCUUAUCUCCUCGUCUCUUCUGUUUGCCUACAGAUUCUGAAGUAAAGAAAAGAAGCUUAGGUGCUGGAGAAAUGUUCCUGCAUGCGAUCACAAGGAUUCAGGCCGCAAACCCUACACCACCACCUUCCAUUUUAGCUCCUGUUCGCAGUAAUGCUGGGCUCAGGGCACCAGCCGAUCGUUUUGCUCUGAAAUCUUCCUUCUUUUCCCCAUCGCUCCACCUCUUCGUUGCUUCCAAUCAACAUCAGCGGCCUAUUGCAUCUGCAGCUCCAAGAUUCUCCAUGCGUGUUGCCUCCAAGCAAUCCUAUAUUUGUCGCGAUUGCGGGUAUAUUUACAAUGAAAGGACUCCCUUCGAGAAACUGCCUGACAAGUACUUCUGCCCUGUUUGUGGUGCUCCUAAAAGGAGAUUUAGACCAUAUGCACCUUCUGUGACCAAAAAUGCUAAUGAAACUGAUGUUAGAAAAGCACGCAAAGCUCAAAUCCAGAGAGAUGAAGCAAUUGGGCGGGCAUUGCCAAUUGCAAUUGUGGUUGGAGUUGCAGCCCUUGCUGGUUUAUAUUUCUACCUCAAUAGCAGCUUCCAAGGCUGAACGGUGGCAAUUCCACAGAAACCAUGGCAGAAGAAUGUUGUCAUGUGAAUGCUUUGUUCACAGAACAGAGCAGUUCUUGUAAUUUUGUUAUAUUUGGGGAACGCCUAUUCAAUGUUAUUCUUUUCCUCCAUCCAACGUUGAGAAAUGCAAUCUUCUCAUUGUCUUGAGCUAUAAUGAAAAUCUAGGAAUAUCUUCCCUUUAUAUAUCGUCCUCUACCCUUUUGGACGAGUGAAAAAAAAAAAUGGUUGAAGAAUAAUAAUAGGCAUGUCAAGUAAACAAAUUCAAGACGUUGACUGGUGAAAGUUCUUGCCCGUAACGAGGCCUCUAUUAUCUAGCACACCAUGUUCAUCACUUGCAAAUUACAUCAGCUAUCCAACAAAAGAAAACUGAUGGAAAGCGUGGUCUAACAGAUUUGAGAAUUUACACGUGGUUAUAUAUGUAUUAAGUGAUCAUUCUUGCAACACAAAAGAACCCUCUAUUCUUUUCUCCAUCAAUUGUGGGGGAGGGGAAUUCAAAGGAGAAAACAUGUCAUUAAUACUAGAAGCUGGUGCAGGCUUGAACUCGUAAGGUCCUUCCUUCACUCCCCAAACCUGAUUUCCACCAUCAUCAUAGCCCCUAUCCCAUGUAUGUACUUCAUUGUUUUUUAAAAUUGCAAGUUCCGAAGUGCAGUAGCUUGCUCCGUUCCAUGUAUUUGGGAAUCCACCAGGGGGAGUAGAACCUUUAUACAAGCAGCAUUUUCCACGGUCACAGCGUUUAAGAUGUAUUGUUGUCAGAUGUUCUGCUAUGUCACCAAUAACUUCUUCUGGCAAUGGUCGCUGAUCCCUUGGGCGAUCACAGAAAUUUUUGCACUCCUCUGCAUCUCUGAUGACAUAUGAGCUCACCUGUCCAUUAAUGAAAGAAUGAUUUGUUAGUUGUUUAAGGUGUUUAUAGAAAAUUUCUCACAGCACCUCAAAAUGAAAUAGGAAUGGAAUAAUAAUUUAAUCCCACUAAUUGAAUGGGGGAAAAAGAGCAAUUCGUAAGAAGAUGAUAAUUAAUAACUAUCCCAGAAAAAAAGGAAAAAAAAAAAAGAGUUACAGUUGCAGUAACAAAGCAAGCAAGCAAGGAAGUUCUACAAAGUAGCCACAAAAAACUGAGUUUUCACUGAUUUUAUUACAUGUCAAGAAAACUAAUGGCAGCAGCAAUGCUAAGAAACCAUUGCAUGCUUUUAUGACAAGUCUGAGAAUCAUGUAUCCGAGCAUAACAUAUGGAGGUAUAUUCUUGGCUACCAUUCAUUGAUAUUAUUCGACAGAUAUACUUGAUGAAAAUCAAGUACCAUUACAAAAGCAGUUCAAAGGGCUUCAAGCAAAUAUUAUGCAGAAGACAGUAUGAUCAAAGUAAAGAGAACUUUGAUGAAAAUAAUUGCAAAUGAUAUUGAGAAUAGUAAUUAUACUAAUAGCAUUAAUGAUAUUAGGGCCACAUACAAUUCCAUAGGAUUUGAGGAAAAAAAGACUUUCAACUACUUAAAUUCACAAUACAGGCAAUAGUUAUUAUGCUCUUAUAGAACCAUCAGUUUCAAGAUAAGCUUACCUCAACAUCACAUUUCAACUCCUUUGGACAAGGCUUCACCAUAUAGAACCUCUGGAACCGUAGAAUAAAAUUUUUAUUGCAUUAGUGUCAUUAAUAAAAAACUGUCAGCUAAAAAAUGUAAAAAGCAGUUCAAAAAAAAGAGUAACUUUUAUACUUUGUAAAGCAAAAAACGUUGCACAGAAGUUCAUUCCUGUAAUAUAAAUAAAAUAAUGUUCAAGAUAAUAGAAUUUAAGCAAAAAAUCUAAAUUAAAUAGCAAACUGAUAGAUUACCUGCCGAAAUGGCUUUUGAGGCGUCCUCCAGAAUGCCUAAUAAUAGAUGGAUAACUCUUAUAAAAAUAGUAUAUAUCAACUGAAUCUACAAAUGAGGAAUGGAAAGAAGGGAAGUGAGUUAAACAACCUGUUCGAAAUAUAAAACCUUGGAACCAUCCACCAUCUCCGCUGCUGGACAUGUCAGCAUUCUGCACAUAAAAAAUUCCUAAAACUAAUAAUUCACAACAUUUGAACUUUAUCUUGCAAUUUCUGAAUCCAUAUCUCAAGAUGCAUUAAAGUUCAUCGCCCUUACUCAAAUUUCAAUAAAAUUAGAUGGUUCAAAGAAUGAAGAAGAAGAAGAAGUAGUAAAAGGGUACCUAAUGUUGAAGUAAUUAUCGGGAUCUCUGGAUGCUUGAUCUCUCGAGAACUAACCCCACAAAUUAAAUUGACACUAGAAUCAGGAAAGAAACGCUAGUGGGGAUGAACCAAAAAGGGCAAUAAGCUUAAUUAAAUGGUACCUUUUCGCCGCCGAGUGAUUGAGCUACGAUUCGCGCAUGGUCCCAACGGGUAGUAGACUUAGUGAGCCGCUUCACAAGAAUCGCACCUCCAAUCAGAACCAGCGUCUUGACAACCAAUCCUCGAGCUCGGCUCCAUCCAUUAGACUCCGAGCCCGUUCCCAUUUUCAAGUAAUUUAUAUCCUCACCAACAACCAAACACCCAGCACCAUCUUCUUCGCCUAAAAAGUCAGAUAAAACGUAAAAACCUGAGCAGGAUUUCGCUGAAGAGAGGAAAGGGGAAGGAAGGAAUAUGGAGACUGAAAAGUGACUGUGUAUUAAUGUGAUUGAGACGAUGGUGAAGGAUUGGGUUUGAAUGAUUUUGAUGAAUCAGAGACUUGUAACCUGUUCGAAUCCCAGACUCGCCGGCGCCCAGUUGUCGAUUGGAGGCGGUGACAGUGUCAGCCACUUCAAGCUCUUAAUAGCUUUUAUUUUUCAUCACACUUGGCGAAGCUAGAUUGCCGAAUGCUUGGGCCGCUG